UAAGACAAAAAGAGUACAGAAGAUGUGAAACCCAAAUACACUUAAUGUUAAUAAAGCCAAUUAUCUACAGGCAUUCCCAGCAAUAAGCUAAUGACAAAACCACCAGGCAUCUAAAACCUAUUCUUUCAUGAAACUUGGAAGAACAUCCUACGUGAUCAUCUUUGAACACAGUUUUUGGCAAAUCACUAGAAGCAAUAUUUUUAAUCAAUGAAGUGGAUCUAAUUUGGAUUUCAGAUGCACAGAAAGAGAGACAGGAAAGUGGGAAGGAAAAAGUUUCCUAAGUUUGAGUUCCUGCCUCUGCCAAUUCCCAGAGGCCCUGGUCUUCUACCCUAACUGAUGCCAUGAAGACAUUUUCCUUAACAAGAAAAUUUCCUCUCACAAGCAACUUUGUUGCUAGCUGUGAACACAACAAUGCACUCAUCAUUUGUUUCUUGAUUCUGACCACUUUCACUCUGAAGCCUUUGGGGAAGUUGCUUAACAUGGUGUUGGCGUUCAUGAAAUAAAUAUUGAAUAACAGCAACCUCAAAAUGUUCCUGAGAAAAUGAAGUGGAAUAAGGAAGAUUAAGCCUAAUAGAAUGAACGAACUUCAUCAACAGUCAUUUCCUUCCUGCUGAUCUCCUGCAACCUUUCCUCAUGCCUUUCUCCAAGCUAUUAAAAUCAAUCUGGAGCGCUUCUUCAUCUUUAAAAUAAAUGUUACACAGGAUCAA